rnacentral:rRNA from 1 species
GAGCGCAGGAAACCAGAUGACCCCUUCGGGGUGAUUCUGGUGGAAUGAGCGGCGGACGGGUGAGUAACACGUGGGCAACCUGCCUGUAAGACUGGGAUAACUUCGGGAAACCGGAGCUAAUACCGGAUAGUAUUUCCUUUCUCCUGAUUGGAAAUGGAAAGACGGUUUCGGCUGUCACUUACAGAUGGGCCCGCGGUGCAUUAGCUAGUUGGUGGGGUAAUGGCCCACCAAGGCGACGAUGCAUAGCCGACCUGAGAGGGUGAUCGGCCACACUGGGACUGAGACACGGCCCAGACUCCUACGGGAGGCAGCAGUAGGGAAUCUUCCGCAAUGGACGAAAGUCUGACGGAGCAACGCCGCGUGAGCGAUGAAGGCCUUCGGGUCGUAAAGCUCUGUUGUUAGGGAAGAACAAGUACGAGAGUAACUGCUCGUACCUUGACGGUACCUAACCAGAAAGCCCCGGCUAACUACGUGCCAGCAGCCGCGGUAAUACGUAGGGGGCAAGCGUUGUCCGGAAUUAUUGGGCGUAAAGGGCUCGUAGGCGGUUUCUUAAGUCUGAUGUGAAAGCCCACAGCUCAACUGUGGAGGGUCAUUGGAAACUGGGGAACUUGAGUGCAGAAGAGGAGAGUGGAAUUCCACGUGUAGCGGUGAAAUGCGUAGAUAUGUGGAGGAACACCAGUGGCGAAGGCGACUCUCUGGUCUGUAACUGACGCUGAGGAGCGAAAGCGUGGGGAGCAAACAGGAUUAGAUACCCUGGUAGUCCACGCCGUAAACGAUGAGUGCUAGGUGU